CUGCAAUUUGGCAGCACAUAUACUAAAUUUGUAAUGAUUCAGAGAUGAGCAUGAUCCAAUUUCAAGGAUGACACACAAAUUCAAGAAGCGUUCUAUAUUUUU
ensembl:snRNA U6 U6 spliceosomal RNA